AGUGAACGCUGGCGGUAGGCCUAACACAUGCAAGUCGAACGGCAGCACAGGAGAGCUUGCUCUCUGGGUGGCGAGUGGCGGACGGGUGAGGAAUACAUCGGAAUCUACUCUGUCGUGGGGGAUAACGUAGGGAAACUUACGCUAAUACCGCAUACGACCUACGGGUGAAAGCAGGGGAUCUUCGGACCUUGCGCGAUUGAAUGAGCCGAUGUCGGAUUAGCUAGUUGGCGGGGUAAAGGCCCACCAAGGCGACGAUCCGUAGCUGGUCUGAGAGGAUGAUCAGCCACACUGGAACUGAGACACGGUCCAGACUCCUACGGGAGUCAGCAGUGGGGAAUAUUGGACAAUGGGCGCAAGCCUGAUCCAGCCAUACCGCGUGGGUGAAGAAGGCCUUCGGGUUGUAAAGCCCUUUUGUUGGGAAAGAAAUCCAGCUGGCUAAUACCCGGUUGGGAUGACGGUACCCAAAGAAUAAGCACCGGCUAACUUCGUGGCAGCCGCCGCGGUAA
rnacentral:rRNA from 1 species